AACUAUCAGAUCGCAGCGAUUCAAUAACGACAAAGGGCAGCGGCGCAACAGAAAACACCAAAAACAGAAACAGAAUGUUGUGGCAGUACAGGAAGUAAUCCGAUUUGUUCGCCGAGUAAUUGUACCAUAACGUCUCCGCGAACGUCAGGUUCCGUCCAAGCGCUGCGGCCGCGUCUUCGAUUGUAGCGUACGGCAGCAUUUUAGUCCGAGCAGCGAAGAUCGGAGUCUGGUGGCGCGUGGAGGAGAGCGAGAAUUGAUUAGGAUGGGGGCUGGGGGAGGGUGAGGAGGAGGAGCUGAGGCCUUUUUUUUUUGUUUGUGUGUGGUUUUGCGAUGCGCUGGCAGAGGGGGGGUUUGUAGUUUGUGUUUGUUAAAAUUAUGCGGGAAUUUUGAAACCACGCCCCCGUUUUAGUAUUGUGGCACCCUGCUGUGAGCUGUGUCGUUUGUUGUUGCUCUCUUCUUGCCGUUAUUUAUAUCUCGAAUUUUCGUUUAACAUUUGUUUUUUCUUUCAUAUAAAUUGCAGCCCACUCAUUAAAAUUAAAAUGAAAAAAAAAAGUGUUUUAUUUAGUAUGAAUAACUUUUCAAGUUAUACAUGGUUCGGCCCUUGUCUGAGUGGUUAGAACUGUUAUUCUCUAAGUUGGAGGAUAAUAGUUCAAAUCUCCACAAAUUUAAUGUGUAUUUUCUUCCGUAAUUAUAAUGUACAAUUGAGUGAAUAUAAUCUUCUCUUUUACCAAAAUAUGAGUGGAGUAUGCAUUUUUUGAAUAUUAAUAAAGAUUAAAACUCUGGAGAAAGCUCCAUAAGUAUAGUGAGGGUUGAAAAAUCUGAAUAUAAGUUGGUCUCAGUAAUAACUUAAUUUAUAAAUAUCGGUUAUAAUAUCAUCUAAUAUGAGUUAUAUUUGAGUAAUAGUAUCAUGUAAUAAAAAAAAUUCAAUACAUACUAAUACUAAUAUAUAAUAUAAAUUGAAGAUUUCAAAAUUUCACAUGCGUAUCGUCACGUGACAGGUCACGCAUUGUUGAUUUUCUUUUUUUUAAAAUAUGGAUGGUUGAUUUUAUUUUUUUUUUAAAACUAAAUAUGGAUAGUUAAAUUUAAGAGCGAGUAAAAUAAAAUGUUGAUAAACAGUAGAUUCACAGGCAGUGUAUGGGAGUGAGACUAAGGGUGCGUUUGGGAUUGAGGUUGGGCAGCUGUAGCUUAAAAGCUACAACACUAAAGUGUUUGGUAAACACUAACUGUUGUUGUUUUUAAGCUAUGUUGAUAUAAUUUUUCACUUGUAUAAUAUAAAAUUUAUUAUAUCUUUAAUAAUUUUGAUAAAAUUAUUAUUUAAAAUUUAUAUUUAUUAUAUAUUAUUAAUUUUUAUUUUAUAAUUACAACUUUUUUUUUACAGGUACUAUAGCUUUACAGCACCUCAAUCCCAAACGCACCCUAAGCUUAGUUAGAUGUAGUCAAAGAGUCAAAGGAGUGGGCCGCAAACGUGGUCGUGCAGUGACGUGAGUGGAUUUGCCUGCUGGCUAAGAGAGCAGCGCGUGCAUUACAAAUGCUGAUUUUUGGCAUCCCCAUUUGUAGGCGUGGAAUCAAUUUCGUCCUGUUCUUCCGCGCGUCAGGACAUGCAUGUCGACUUCAUCUGCUUGUGACUUGUGCGCGAUAUUCAUAUCAUCAAAUACUCCCCAAACACGUUAAAUAUUAAAAUACGGUAAUUAUUAGAUCAUUAACGUAUUUAUGUAAUUUAUUUUUAUUUUAUUAUUAUUAUUAUUUAUUAUUUAUUGGGUUGCAGUUUUAAAUUCUGGCAUGGAGACAUAAGGUGGGGCUUGGCUUUCAAUAAUUGUGGACACGGCAACGAGCGGAGAACGAAAAAUAUGUAAAAUGUAGUUAAUACGACGUUUGCCUUCAGUUGGCUUAGUGCCACAAACUUUUCUUUCAAUAAAUAUAAGAGCUAAGUAUCUGACUCCAUGUAUUCAAAAAAGGGGAAAAAAAAAAAAGAGUAACCGACUAAGCCUUAUUUUUGAGAUUGAAUAGGGAGAAUAAAUAUAGAACGUUUGAAAUUACGGUAUUAUAACUUUUAAGUUAUAAUUGUUGUGAAAGGCACAAAGUCUACAAAUGAAAGGUAAGCCACUGUAAAAGAUCUUUGAACCCCCCUCCUUUUACAAUGAAUUCCACCAGAAAGGAUAAAUGGAGUGAAAGAAAUUCUAAAGUUGACAUCAUUUAGUAAAAAAUAAACUAAAGCAGAAAAGGACAGUGAUAAUUUCUUUCUUUUUUUUUUUAUUUAGAAAAAAGGACAGCAUGCAUACCCGCUGUGAGUAUCAAUUGCCUCAAUCUGCCGCAAAGCAAUCCACAACCAGAAUGUGAUCAUGUGCCCAGGAGCCAUUGCAGGACCAAGAAAGGAUGGAAUCCCAAGGAUCAAAAUCUCAGCCCAAUGUGCAUAUGGUGCAGCAAAUCCAAUGGGAGCGGUGUAUUCAUGAUGAACGCGGUGAAUUUUCUCAUAACCCCAUUUACAAUGGAGAAAUCUGUGAAUCCAGUAAUUGGUAUAGUCCUCUACCAUGAAAUAAACUACCAAUUGUGCAAGAAUCUCCCACCCUGACGGCAGCGGCAACCCAGUCCGAAUCCCAACCAUCUGGGAUCAUCAAAGCAAACCCAUAUUACAUUUUGUACAAACUCGUAAAAAAGUAGUAAAAUGAUAGCAAUAAUUUAACUAUUUAACCGCGAAUAAGCUAGAAGACAUCAAAUACCCAGAAACGCAAAAUAAAGGAAGCACCAUCUUAUAAAUUCAAAAUAUGAAAUUCCAAUAAGUUACAGAAACCAGAAAUCUGAUUACUAAAAAUCAACAUUUGAGUAUCAUAACAAUUUUCAGCUGCUUCAAUUGCAGAAAAACAGAACCAUGCAUGCAUCCUUACAGAACUCAUCAAAUCGCAUCAAUUAAGCAAUUCAAUAAAUUAACCGGAUAUGCAAAGCUAAAAAGCCGAAAACACCCCCCACAAUGCAAAUGUAAAAACCAAAAAACACAUUCCACAAACUUGGAGAAUUUGAGUGAAAAAUGAAAAGACCUGAACGGAAGGGAAAGAAACGAGUUGAAGAGGGCCCACAACGAGAAAGAACAUGCGCAUAACAUCCUUGUAGCAGCGAACCAUCUCGGAGAAAGAGAGCCUAACUUUCGGCUGAAUCUUGUACUUAUCGAAACUAUCAGAUCGCAGCGAUUCAAUAACGACAAAGGGCAGCGGCGCAACAGAAAACACCAAAAACAGAAACAGAAUGUUGUGGCAGUACAGGAAGUAAUCCGAUUUGUUCGCCGAGUAAUUGUACCAUAACGUCUCCGCGAACGUCAGGUUCCGUCCAAGCGCUGCGGCCGCGUCUUCGAUUGUAGCGUACGGCAGCAUUUUAGUCCGAGCAGCGAAGAUCGGAGUCUGGUGGCGCGUGGAGGAGAGCGAGAAUUGAUUAGGAUGGGGGCUGGGGGAGGGUGAGGAGGAGGAGCUGAG
rnacentral:lncRNA from 1 species